rnacentral:rRNA from 1 species
AGAGUUUGAUCCUGGCUCAGAACGUACGCUGGCGGCACGCCUAACACAUGCAAGUCGAACGAAGUAGCAAUACUUAGUGGCAGACGGGUGAGUAACAUGUAGGUAUCUUCCCUUUGGUGAGGAAUAACACGAGGAAACUUGUGCUAAUACCUCAUAAGUCUUUACGGAGAAAGCUUUAUGCGCCGAUGGAUGAGCCUGCACUUGAUUAGUUUGUUGGUAGGGUAAUGGCCUACCAAGACUAUGAUCAAUAGCUGAUUUGAGAGGAUGAUCAGCCACAUUGGGACUGAGACACGGCCCAAACUCCUACGGGAGGCAGCAGUAGGGAAUCUUGCACAAUGGGGGAAACCCUGAUGCAGCGAUGCCGCGUGAGUGAAGAAGGCCUUUGGGUUGUAAAGCUCUUUCGUCGGGGAAGAAAAUGACUGUACCCGAAUAAGAAGGUCCGGCUAACUUCGUGCCAGCAGCCGCGGUAAUACGAAGGGACCUAGCGUAGUUCGGAAUUACUGGGCUUAAAGAGUUCGUAGGUGGUUAAAAAAGUUGGUGGUGAAAUCCCAGAGCUUAACUCUGGAACUGCCAUCAAAACUUUUUAGCUAGAGUAUGAUAGAGGAAAGCAGAAUUUCUAGUGUAGAGGUGAAAUUCGUAGAUAUUAGAAAGAAUACCAAUUGCGAAGGCAGCUUUCUGGAUCAUUACUGACACUGAGGAACGAAAGCAUGGGUAGCGAAGAGGAUUAGAUACCCUCGUAGUCCAUGCCGUAAACGAUGUGUGUUAGACGUUGGAAAUUUAUUUUCAGUGUCGCAGCGAAAGCGAUAAACACACCGCCUGGGGAGUACGACCGCAAGGUUAAAACUCAAAUGAAUUGACGGGGACCCGCACAAGUAGUGGAGCAUGUGGUUUAAUUCGAAGAUACGCGCAGAACCUUACCAACACUUGACAUGUUCGUCGCGACUCUAAGAGAUUAGAGUUUUCGGUUCGGCCGGACGAAACACAGGUGCUGCAUGGCUGUCGUCAGCUCGUGUCGUGAGAUGUUGGGUUAAGUCCCGCAACGAGCGCAACCCUCACUUUUAGUUGCCAUCAUUAAGUUGGGCACUCUGAAAGAACUGCCAGUGAUAAGCUGGAGGAAGGUGGGGAUGACGUCAAGUCCUCAUGGCCCUUACGUGUUGGGCUACACACGUGCUACAAUGGUAUCUACAACAGGAAGCAAGACUGCGAGGUCAAGCAAAUCCUUAAAAGAUACCUCAGUUCGGAUUGCACUCUGCAACUCGAGUGCAUGAAGCUGGAAUUACUAGUAAUCGUGGAUCAGCGUGCCACGGUGAAUGCGUUCCCGGGUCUUGUACACACCGCCCGUCACACCAUGGGAGUUGGUUCUACCUUAAGGCAAGGUUUAAAACCCUUGACCACGGUAUAGUCAGCGACUGGGGUGAAGUCGUAACAAGGUAACC